rnacentral:rRNA from 1 species
UACAGAGGGGGCAAGCGUUGUUCGGAAUUACUGGGCGUAAAGGGCGCGUAGGCGGCCUUCUAAGUCGAACGUGAAAUCCCUGGGCUCAACCCAGGAACUGCGUCCGAUACUGGAAGGCUUGAAUCCGGGAGAGGGAUGCGGAAUUCCAGGUGUAGCGGUGAAAUGCGUAGAUAUCUGGAGGAACACCGGUGGCGAAGGCGGCAUCCUGGACCGGUAUUGAUGCUGAGGAGCGAAAGCGUGGGGAGCGAACAGG